UACGUAGGAUGCAAGCGUUGUCCGGAAUUAUUGGGCGUAAAGCGAACGUAGGCGGUUUCUUAAGUUUGGUCUUAAAGACCGGGGCUCAACCCCGGGAAUGGAUCGAUAACUGGGAGACUGGAGGACGUCAGAGGAAAGUGGAAUUCCGAGUGUAGCGGUGAAAUGCGUAGAUAUUCGGAGGAACACCAGUGGCGAAAGCGACUUUCUGGGACGUUCCUGACGCUGAGGUUCGAAAGCUCGGGGAGCAAACAGG
rnacentral:rRNA from 1 species